GACGAACGCUGGCGGCGUGCUUAACACAUGCAAGUCGAACGAAGAGCGAUGGAAGCUUGCUUCUAUCAAUCUUAGUGGCGAACGGGUGAGUAACGCGUAAUCAACCUGCCCUUCAGAGGGGGACAACAGUUGGAAACGACUGCUAAUACCGCAUACGAUCUAACCUUGGCAUCGAGGAUGGAUGAAAGGUGGCCUCUAUUUAUAAGCUAUCACUGAAGGAGGGGAUUGCGUCUGAUUAGCUAGUUGGAGGGGUAACGGCCCACCAAGGCGAUGAUCAGUAGCCGGUCUGAGAGGAUGAACGGCCACAUUGGGACUGAGACACGGCCCAGACUCCUACGGGAGGCAGCAGUGGGGAAUCUUCCGCAAUGGACGAAAGUCUGACGGAGCAACGCCGCGUGAGUGAUGACGGCCUUCGGGUUGUAAAGCUCUGUUAAUCGGGACGAAAGGCCUUCUUGCGAA
rnacentral:rRNA from 1 species